CAUGGCCAUUUGGGAUCCUUCUCUGUGGGGUCGUCCUGCGCUGACCCGGGCGCCGUGGGGGUGGAGCAGCACCCGAGGCCCCACCCACCAGAUGCCAGCAGCUCCCCGUGGGACCACCACCGAUGUCCUGCAAUGGCCCCGGGUCCCCAGGCUGAGGCCCAGUGGGCUGACGGCCGGAGUGGACACAGAGCACAGCCCAUUCGGGCCUGCACUGCCCGACACAGCUCCUGGCCACAUGCGGCCCCUGGGCCCCGUGAUGUGACUGCUCUGGGCCAUCUGGGCCGAGGUGCGCUGUGACAGCAAAGGACACGUCAGGUUCCAAAGACUUCGUGGAAGAUAAAAAAAUAAAUAAAUAAGUAAAAGGAAGGCCAAAUUGGUGAUUUCUCCUGUAAAAUGGUAAGACUGCCUCUACUGGGGCGACUGCACCACCAUCAGGUUACGUCCACCUGCCUCAGCCCGUCGUGAACGCGGGUGCAGGAGGUUAGCCCGGCGCUGCAAGGACAUGCGGGGGCUGGGCAGUGACCCGGGCUGGGGGCCCUCGCCCUGACCCACCUCUCCCUGCGCGGAGGAGGGAGCCCAGGCUGGGGUGAACAGAGCCGGGGGGCUUCCCCGGGGGGGGCCGCUCAGGACUCCGCGGAGAGCCAGGCGGGGACGCAGGCACGGCUCCAUGCUGGCCUGAGGUGCCCUCCCGAGGACGAAGGCAGCGCGCGGGGACAAGGCCCACGGAUCUUCCUCCAAAGCAAACGCAGGAAUAAAAAGGCGGAGACAACAAACAAGUGAGCACACCCAGCGCACAAGCUUCUGAAGCUCUGAUGCGUCUCCCCAUUUUUGGACACAGAGGUCAGAAAGACGGGGUGUUAGGGGUCCCAGGGGUUGUGUCCUCAGGGGCCCCUGGACACGGAGGCGGGGUCUUCAUUCCGGCUCCCGUCCUAAGCGCUGUCGGGAUCCUUCAAGAGCCAGGAAACCCCAACACAGCUGCACAAAACACUCCCUGUUUCCUAGGGGCCACCUUCCACCGACCCCGUCAGGAGAUGAGGAGACCCCAAAACAGCUCCUGCGCAACCCACGAGGAGCCGUCUCCCCCGCAACAGGGGCCCCGUCCCGGGGUCUGGCUGGCCGGCGGCCUGCAGGGCCCCACAGAGCAACACCGGCGGACUUCGGGGUAUCUUCUUUAUUCUCCCCUCAACCAGGUGAGACUUUGGGGAUGGAA
rnacentral:lncRNA from 12 species